rnacentral:misc_RNA from 1 species
GAAAAAAAAGGCAUAAAAGAAAUGAAGACUACAGGGAAUGGUUGCCAGAAUUUAACAUUCUUAUUUGGAAUCACAGUAUCACACAUUGGGGAACACACAUUGAGGAUAAUAUGAGAGUAUGGAUAAAGAUGGUCAGGUCAUGUCCAACAUAGAGAAUUAAAUACUCUAGUAUGAAAAUGUAAUAAACUAGUGAUGGAAGGAGUGAUGAGGAAAAGGGGGAGACCUAAAAUGACGUGGAGUGAA